CCUUCCUGCCCUGCUCUCAGUCGCUCUUGACACGACAGAGCGAGGCAGUGAGCUGUACUGCAGAGCUGCAGAGGAAGAGGAGGAGGAGGUGCUGGGGACAGGGCUCCAGAAACAGGUGCCUGGAUCGAUGGCCGCGCUGUGCACACCCUGACUCUGAUUCUCAGGCCCCACACUCAGUGUAUUUGACAAGCUGAGUUGGACACUCAAUUUGGUAUCAGUGUCAGUUUGUCAAAUACCCCAAGUGAGGGGCUUCUUCACACACUCCAGAUACUGAGACCAGUCAGCAGACAAGCGAUCAAACAGGCUUGUGUGCAAGCCUAUGCAGAAAGGCAGCACCUUGCGUUUUACUGAGCUGCAAAAAUGUGAUUGUUUUAUGUUGGUGUUCUUUAAAUACAGCCCUGCUAUUCCCCAGGCUGAUCCUUGUUUAUCCCACUGUGUGUUUCAUGUAUAUUUCAUAUCUCUUUCCAAAAAAAACUGUAUUUGUUAGUUUUUUUCCCUGAUAAAAGUAUAUAAGGACAUGUAAUAUAGCAUACAACAUAUGGUAAAAGAUAGCCAAACAAAGCAAUUUUGUUCCAAAGAACCAUUCAGUUGUAGUUCAUUUGGUGUAGGUUUUCAAACUUCCUAUUUAAAACAAUGAUUGAAAAACCAGACUCGCAUUCCUCUUAGAUGUGAAGUGAAAACCUCAAAAGAAAGAGAGAUUAUGAAAAUGCAACACUUCUAUUUUUGGAUUGCCUGUUCUGUUAGGAAAUGUAACGUUAAAUCUCUAAAAGCUAGUUUUAUUUCAAUAAUGUAACACAAUGUUUUAAAGGCUGGAACAGUAUGUCACAUAAUUGAAUAAUAUGUUAUGUUUCGAUCAUUAAAAUACUGUAUGUCACAAAUAAUACAUA